CAGUAGCCACGGUAAUACGUAGGGCGCAAGCGUUGUCCGGAAUUAUUGGGCGUAAAGAGCUCGUAGGCGGUCUGUCGCGUCUGGUGUGAAAUCCCGAGGCUCAACCUCGGGCUUGCAUCGGGUACGGGCAGACUAGAGUGCGGUAGGGGAGACUGGAAUUCCUGGUGUAGCGGUGGAAUGCGCAGAUAUCAGGAGGAACACCGAUGGCGAAGGCAGGUCUCUGGGCCGCAACUGACGCUGAGGAGCGAAAGCAUGGGGAGCGAACAGGAUUAGAUACCCCUGUAGUCCCUGUCUCUUAUAC
rnacentral:rRNA from 1 species